rnacentral:miRNA from 14 species
UCUCGGCCACGGGUCUACGACAUGGGUUGUAUAUAUAUAUAUAUAUAUAUAUAUAUAUAUACAACCCAUGUCGUAGACCCGUGGCCGAGAUGUG